rnacentral:rRNA from 1 species
AUUGAACGCUGGCGGCAGGCUUAACACAUGCAAGUCGAGCGGUUGAGAGUAGCUCGCUACUUGAUGCAGCGGCGGACGGGUGAGUAACGCGUGGGAAUCUGCCCAGUCGAGGGGGAUAACAGUUGGAAACGACUGCUAAUACCGCAUACGCGCUACGGGGGAAAGCAGGGGACCAUCGGGCCUUGCGCGAUUGGAUAUGCCCGGGUGGGAUUAGCUAGUUGGUGAGGUAAUGGCUCACCAAGGCGACGAUCCCUCGCUGGUCUGAGAGGAUGAUCAGCCACACUGGAACUGAGACACGGUCCAGACUCCUACGGGAGGCAGCAGUGGGGAAUAUUGCACAAUGGGGGAAACCCUGAUGCAGCCAUGCCGCGUGUGUGAAGAAGGCCUUCGGGUUGUAAAGCACUUUCAGCGAGGAGGAAAGGUUGAUGCCUAAUACGUAUCAACUGUGACGUUACUCGCAGAAGAAGCACCGGCUAACUCCGUGCCAGCAGCCGCAGUAACAC